rnacentral:ribozyme from 14 species
AGAAAAACACACACAAAGAAAGAGAAAACAAAACUGUUGCCAAAUGCCCAAGAUUUACAUCCUCCUUUUCCUUCUUGUUCUCACUUUUCCCUUCUUCGACUCUUCUCUUUUCUACA